rnacentral:rRNA from 1 species
GGUUGUGCCAUCAAAAGCGACCCCAGGUCAGAUGGGAUCACCCGCUGAGUUUAAGCAUAUCAAUAAGCGGAGGA